rnacentral:misc_RNA from 1 species
GUGAGUCAUCGAAUCUUUGAACGCACCUUGCGCUCCUUGGUAUUCCUUGGAGCAUGCCUGUUUGAGUAUCAUGAAAUUCUCAAAGUAAACCUUUUGUUAAUUCAACUGGUCUUUGCUUUGGAUUUGGAGGCCUUUGCAGAUGUCACAGUCUGCUCCUCUUAAAUAAAUUAGCUGGAUCUCAGUAUACACUUGGUUCCACUCGGCGUGAUAAGUAUCACUCGCUGAGGACACUGUUAAAAAGGUGGCCAGGCAAUGCAGAUGAACCGCUNCUAAUAGUCCAUUGACUUGGACAAAUUAAAA